rnacentral:tRNA from 1 species
CGGGAUAGCUCAGUGGUAGAGCACAUGCUUAGCAUACGUGAGGUCCUGGGUUCAACCCCUGUAUCUCUA